ensembl:antisense Gm16577 predicted gene 16577
CUCCCUUUGAAAGAGCUAUCAUAUCAUCUCUCUUUGGGUGACUUCCAAUCCGCCCAUUUCACGGGGAGGAGGAAGGUACUGGUUUAUUUCAAGAUGACUUUGAAGGAAAAUUACCGUGCAAAUGUUAGAAGAGUAAUGACUGCAAGACCAAGUCCUAAUUCAGACUGCUCUGAUCAUUCUACUACUCUGAUGUCUAUGGAUUUGACACAAAUCACCAGCCAAGACUUUAAAUUCAGACAUGCCUAUUGCGUGACUGAAAAAGUAUUUAGUGUUUACAUCAUUUGUUGUCAUCCAGAAGAUCUCAAACUCUCAAGUGAUGGGAAAUCCCACUUGUAAGUUGUUACCUACCUCCUCUCAGCAGUUUUUAGCAUUGCCUGCAUCCGUUCUUCUAUUGUUGCUUUAAUUAAGAAUCUAUGUACAAUAGUAGGUCUAGAAGGCAAAUAAUAAUUUUAAGUUUAAAGACCAUCUUAA